rfam:Trichobilharzia regenti genome assembly, scaffold: TRE_scaffold0017476
CUGACGAGUCCCAAAUAGGACGAAAUGCUCAUC